GUGUCAGCAGCCGCGGUAAAACCAGCACCUCAAGUGGUCAGGAGGAUUAUUGGGCCUAAAGCAUCCGUAGCCGGCUUUGUAAGUUUUCGGUUAAAUCUAUAUGCUCAACAUAUAGGCUGCCGGGAAUACUGCAAAGCUAGGGAGUGGGAGAGGUAGACGGUACUCCGUAGGAAGGGGUAAAAUCCUUUGAUCUAUGGAUGACCACCUGUGGCGAAGGCGGUCUACCAGAACACGUCCGACGGUGAGGGAUGAAAGCUGGGGGAGCAAACCGGAUUAGAUACCCGGGUAGUCCCAGCUGUAAACUAUGCAAACUCAGUGAUGCAUUGGCUUGUGGCCAGUGCAGUGCCGCAGGGAAGCCGUUAAGUUUGCCGCCUGGGAAGUACGUACGCAAGUAUGAAACUUAAAGGAAUUGGCGGGGGAGCACCACAAGGGGUGAAGCCUGCGGUUCAAUUGGAGUCAACGCCAGAAAUCUUACCCGGAGAGACAGCAGGAUGAAGGUCAGGCUGAAGACUUUACCAGACAAGCUGAGAAGUGGUGCAUGGCCGUCGCCAGCUCGUGCCGUGAGAUGUCCUGUUAAGUCAGGUAACGAGCGAGAUCCUUGCCUCUAGUUGCCACCAUUACUCUCAGGAGUAGUGGGGCGAAUUAGCGGGACUGCCGUAGUUAAUACGGAGGAAGGAGAGGGCCACGGCAGGUCAGUAUGCCCUGAAACUCUGGGGCCACACGCGGGCUGCAAUGGUAGUGACAAUGGGUUCCGAAUCCGAAAGGAGGAGGUAAUCCUCAAACGCUACCACAGUUAUGACUGAGGGCUGCAACUCGCCCUCACGAAUAUGGAAUCCCUAGUAACUGCGUGUCAUUACCGCGCGGUGAAUACGUCCCUGCUCCUUGCACACACCGCCCGUC
rnacentral:rRNA from 1 species